AGUGAACGCUGGCGGUAGGCCUAACACAUGCAAGUCGAACGGCAGCACAGUAAGAGCUUGCUCUUACGGGUGGCGAGUGGCGGACGGGUGAGGAAUACAUCGGAAUCUACUUUUUCGUGGGGGAUAACGUAGGGAAACUUACGCUAAUACCGCAUACGACCUACGGGUGAAAGCAGGGGAUCUUCGGACCUUGUGCGAUUGAAUGAGCCGAUGUCGGAUUAGCUAGUUGGCGGGGUAAAGGCCCACCAAGGCGACGAUCCGUAGCUGGUCUGAGAGGAUGAUCAGCCACACUGGAACUGAGACACGGUCCAGAAUCCUACGGGAGGCAGCAGUGGGGAAGAUUGGACAAUGGGCGCAAGCCUGAUCCAGCCAUACCGCGUGGGUGAAGAAGGCCUUCGGGUUGUAAAGCCCUUUUGUUGGGAAAGAAAAGCAGCAGGUUAAUACCCCGCUGUUCUGACGGUACCCAAAGAAUAAGCACCGGCUAACUUCGU
rnacentral:rRNA from 1 species